GCGGACGUAGCUCAGUUAGGCAGAGCAUAGGAUUCUUAACCCUAGGUCAGAGGUUCAAAUCCUCUCGUCCGCA
rnacentral:tRNA from 1 species